GAAAUGCGAUAAGUAAUGUGAAUUGCAGAAUUCAGUGAAUCAUCGAAUCUUUGAACGCACCUUGCGCUGCUUGGUAUUCCGAGGAGCAUGCCUGUUUGAGUGUCAUGGAAUUCUCAACUCUAUUUGCUUUUGUGAAUAGAGCUUGGAUUUGGAGGUUUAUUGCUGGUACUUGUGAUCGGCUCCUCUUGAAUGCAUUAGCUCGAACCUUUGCGGAUCAGCUAUCGGUGUGAUAAUUGUCUACGCCGUUGCAGUGAAGCAUAUCAAUGGGCUCGGCUUCCAAUCGUCCUUUACUGGACAAUGACUUUGACCUUUGACCUCAAAUCAGGUAGGAUUACCCGCUGAACUUAAGC
rnacentral:misc_RNA from 1 species